rnacentral:rRNA from 1 species
UACGGAGGGGGCUAGCGUUGUUCGGAAUUACUGGGCGUAAAGCGCACGUAGGCGGCUUUGUAAGUUAGAGGUGAAAGCCCGGGGCUCAACUCCGGAAUUGCCUUUAAGACUGCAUCGCUAGAAUUGUGGAGAGGUAAGUGGAAUUCCCGGUGUAGCGGUGAAAUGCGUAGAUAUCGGGGAGGAACACCUGUGGCGAAGGCGGGUCGUCUGGGCCGAGUACUGACGCGUGAGGAGCGAAAGCGUGGGGAGCGAACGAG